rnacentral:rRNA from 1 species
UGGGGAAUAUUGGACAAUGGGCGAAAGCCUGAUCCAGCAAUGCCGCGUGUGUGAAGAAGGCCCUCGGGUUGUAAAGCACUUUUAUCAGGAACGAAAUACCGCGGGUUAAUAACCUACGGGGCUGACGGUACCUGAGGAAUAAGCACCGGCUAACUUCGUGCCAGCAGCCGCGGUAAUACGAAGGGUGCAAGCGUUAAUCGGAAUUACUGGGCGUAAAGGGUGCGUAGGCGGUUAUUUAAGUCUGCCGUGAAAUCCCCGGGCUCAACCUGGGAAUGGCGGUGGAUACUGGAUAGCUAGAGUGUGUCAGAGGAUGGUGGAAUUCCCGGUGUAGCGGUGAAAUGCGUAGAGAUCGGGAGGAACAUCAGUGGCGAAGGCGGCCAUCUGGGACAACACUGACGCUGAGGCACGAAAGCGUGGGGAGCAAACA